AUUGAACGCUGGCGGCAGGCCUAACACAUGCAAGUCGAACGGUAACAGGAAGAAGCUUGCUUCUUUGCUGACGAGUGGCGGACGGGUGAGUCAUGUCUGGGAAACUGCCUGGUGGAGGGGGAUAACUACUGGAAACGGUAGCUAAUACCGCAUAACGUCGCAAGACCAAAGAGGGGGACCUUCGGGCCUCUUGCCAUCGGAUGUGCCCAGAUGGGAUUAGCUAGUAGGUGGGGUAACGGCUCACCUAGGCGACGAUACCUAGCUGGUCUGAGAGGAUGACCAGCCACACUGGAACUGAGACACGGUCCAGACUCCUACGGGAGGCAGCAGUGGGGAAUAUUGCACAAUGGGCGCAAGCCUGAUGCAGCCAUGCCGCGUGUAUGAAGAAGGCCUUCGGGUUGUAAAGUACUUUCAGCGGGGAGGAAGGGAGUAAAGUUAAUACCUUUGCUCAUUGACGUUACCCGCAGAAGAAGCACCGGCUAACUCCGUG
rnacentral:rRNA from 1 species